GCCUACAUCAAUCAUGGAAAAGGGGCGCAUGCAAUCGAUACCUCUAUAUCGCCGAGCUCCCAGACCAUACGGGAUAUCGAAUAAAUUCCACAGGUGCAGCCAGGUCGCUGUCUCCUCUCCCCUGGCCGGCUCUGGACAGGCAGACUCACGGCACAUGGAAAGCAUCAGCCUGGGUCCGAGCAGGGGAUGCACAGCCUGGAUGAAGACGAAGGGUUUAAAACAGAAGAAACCAAACUACCCUCAGCUGGACGACAAAGGAACUACACGGGCUAAUCGAGUCUGGUCAUUAUUGCAUCUCCUGCAUGGCCCAGUGAUAAAUGGACUAUUCUCAUGGUGGCAGAGUUAUUUUUUAUUGAAAAAAAUAUUAGUCCUUGGUUUUACCGCACAUUUGUAUGAAAAUAGUAAAUCUGCCCAUUACAUGUUUCAGAUGCUUAUAAGCCUGCAAAUCGAUUGCGUCACGUUUAACUUAAAGGCUAUACUUUUCUUUUUGGAAAAUCAACAUUGAUGUUAUUGUUCUAAUUGCAAUUAUACUAUGUUAUCUCUUUCAUUUUAUUUUUGUUUGUGUUUUAAAUGCGUUCUCGUUUUUUAACAUGCAGAAUGAGAAUUGCAUACAAUUAACGUGUAGACCUAUUGGCAAAUAUCCCCUUAAGCCUAUAAAUAAUAAAAGUAAGGGAAAGAAUAUAUAUUUAUAAAUACUAUCGGCUAUUGUUGAUUGCAUUUCUAUUUUUAAUAAUAAAUGUUUUAAUUUUUCAUUGCGAUUUAGGCUAUCACAUUUUUUCGAUUUAUUAAAACCUUUAUGGAAAUACCUAUAACAUUAUUUGGCAUUUGUCUAAUUAUUAUUUUAAGCUAUGGACCAUUCGAAUCAGCGCAAACGACAAUGUAUAGCCCUAUAUUCCUGCAAGUAAUUAUCGUAGACUAUACAUUUAAUUUGGAAAAGCGGUUUAUUUAUUAUUCAUUAAUGUAGGGUAUUAUAACUGCCAUAAGUUCAUCCCAUUAUGUUCCAGCUAUUGGAUAACAUUUAUAUUGCUUCAGUAUGCCUGUAUAUGACAGUGAUAUGUCUAAUUGUGGUUCUAAAGUCUAUUCGAAUUGGAUACAAUUGUGGAUAUGCAAUUGACCCAAUCAUUAUAAUGUCGUUUCAUCUUACAAGCGAUAUAUGUCAAAUGUCUCGUUUCACUAACAUAAACUCAUCAUUUUUUCUUUCACUGCAUUUUUUAUAUUCUGCUCGUUAAUUUACGACGGUGUUCAAAAAAUAUUUAAAUGAUAGUGAAAAAAGAAAAUUCCAAAACAAAUAUAUAAUAUAAGUAAUUGUGCAUAUUUUUUACACGCAUGUUUAUCAAGCAUAAUUAUUUUUCUUCCUAUAUGGUGGAACAGUAGUCUAAACUAAUUUGCUUAAUUCUCAUUCGAUUGAUGUUGGCAAUGUGCAGCGACCCUUCACGGUAAAUAUUGAUGUUGGUGUUGAGUGUCAUCAAGGGAACCGGCUCCUAAAACGAGUUUGUUCGUUCACAUUUCUGAAAUAUGCUUCAAAGCAUCUAAUUUCCCUGCAUUCAUGUUUAGUGUUCUGAUAAGAAAUAUAUAUUUUAAUUUCAAACCAUAAACUAUCCUUUUAAGCACAAACUUGAUGUAUUAAUAUCUUCAGAUGUGCUUGAAAUGUUUCACCGGAACAGUCAGUCUUGUUUUGUUGAAUAGUGAUGAACCUGAACCGAAUGAACCUGUUGUGACUAAUCGUUUUGUGAGUUCUAUCGUUAGUUGCAUGGAAGUAAUUAGACGUUGGCCAGCAAAUGCAUUUAGUAGUACAGAAACAACUGAGAGGGAUGGGCAGUCUAUACUUGUAAGAAUGACAUACUAAUGAUAAUAGUGUACAUAACUACUACAUAAUAGUGCAGUUAUUUCUAUCAAACAAGCGAAAUCGGAGUUUUGGUGGCCAUAUUGUUAUUGAGGAAUCUGUCUCUGCUAGGCUACAUUAUUUUGAACUUUCGCAAUUGCAUUUUUUCUUUACUGUGACAUGCAGUAUUUAUGACCACUAUGCUGUCCUCCAUUUACAUAAUCACACUUGGCCAAUGUUGAAAAUCAAUAUAGUAAACCUCGGAUGGAUUUCUAAUUUUUUUAAUGAAGGGGAUUUAUAACCUUGUAUUUCACUUGAGGAGCCCAGCCCUCUCAAACACAAACACACACACACACACACACACACACACACACACACACACACACACACACACACACACACACACACACACACACACACACACACACACACACACACACACACACACACACACACACACACACUCAUCUGCACAUUAUCCACAAAUACUUUCCUGCAAACUAUCUACACAUACACAUUCACUCACCUGCACACUAUCCCCUCACACACCCAACGCGCACACACACACGCACACGCACACGCACACGCACACAACCACUGCCACCCACUUCCUCAUUUGUUUCAGUAGAAAAACACAUCAACAACAACAAAAAGAAAAAGAAAAAAAAUCGCCCCCGCUCCUUUGCGUGAUGCGGUGGAAGUGAUAUGUAGGUUCUUUGUGCAAAACGAGAGCUGGAUCCCUUAAAAGUAGUCAUAUUAGACGGAGCCGUCUUGGACCGUAACAAGCGUGCGGGCUUUUUAUGGUCAGGAGAGCCGUUCUGGGCUUCAGAAGGCUCCUAAUGAGCGCGUGCAGCAGCCAUGCCCCGUGAUACGUGCCAGCGUUUACCAGGCCGGGUAAUUGCUUGUGACCUUUUACCAGGCAGGUUCCUUACACAGAGACUUGUAAUUGUGACACGUGGCGGCAGAGCCCAUUGUGCAGCGGCAGAGGUUAUGCAAACGUUCCUUUUUACUUUGGAUAUAUAGGGAGAUAGAGGGAGAGAGAGGGAGAGAGCGAGAGAGAGCAAUGUACAACAGAGAGACAGAGUAGGCCUACAAGAGAAAGAGACAGGAUAGUCUCUUUGAGUCUCACCUGUUAGCUCAUAGUGGUGUCGUUUUACAUUGGACACUUGGGCGGACCUUCGGUGGUAAAUAAGUCCAUAAUUCCGUGAAAAGGCUAUUCUUACUGCUGCCUCGAUGAAUGAUGAAAACCAAGACCUGCACACGCCAGUGGACAAACUAAACGUUUUUUUUUAUAAAUAUUUAUUUUCAAAAGGUAAAGGAACGGUCAAAAGGAAAAAAUAAUACUGAUUACAUUUUUCUGUCUGCUCAUUGAACUUUUUUCAGUUUCCAGUUUGGACGUCAUAAAACCUCCCUUUUAUCGAUUAUUUUAAUCGUGAUUAUCCUAUGUUUUGGUGUGAGAGCCUAUCUGCAAAACUCAAUCCAGAAAUAUACCCAUUGCACGUCUCAGUAUGAGUACAGAAUGCUCCUUAUAAAGUAAUAUGCAAUAAAGUGUGUGUAACAAG
rnacentral:lncRNA from 1 species